AGCACUGUAGGUGCCAGCCGCCGCGGUAAUACGUAGGUGGCAAGCGUUAUCCGGAAUUAUUGGGCGUAAAGCGCGCGCAGGCGGUCUCUUAAGUCUGAUGUGAAAGCCCACGGCUCAACCGUGGAGGGUCAUUGGAAACUGGGAGACUUGAGUGCAGGAGAGAAAAGUGGAAUUCCACGUGUAGCGGUGAAAUGCGUAGAGAUGUGGAGGAACACCAGUGGCGAAGGCGGCUUUUUGGCCUGUAACUGACGCUGAGGCGCGAAAGCGUGGGGAGCAAACAGGAUUAGAUACCCUGGUAGUCCACGCCGUAAACGAUGAGUGCUAGGUGUUGGGGGGUUCCACCCUCAGUGCUGAAGUUAACACAUUAAGCACUCCGCCUGGGGAGUACGACCGCAAGGUUG
rnacentral:rRNA from 1 species